CUGAGCCACAUGCAUCCCUCACUUUUCAUCUUUCAGUUUAAUCCUCUGGAGCCAACAACUGUUUCUGUCUUCGAGGUUUAUUGCUACUUGGCAGAUGGAGAGGCUCUCAACGCCUUCCUGUUACGCUUCUUCACAAAGGUGUGCAGCGGGUCCUGGACUCUCGCAUCCCGCCGCGGGAUCAGAUCCAUUACAUCAGCGAUUGCAG